rnacentral:rRNA from 1 species
GAUCCUGGCUCGGGAUGAACGCUAGCUACAGGCUUAACACAUGCAAGUCGAGGGGCAGCAUGGUCUUAGCUUGCUAAGGCCGAUGGCGACCGGCGCACGGGUGAGUAACGCGUAUCCAACCUGCCUUACACUCUUGAACAGCCUUCUGAAAGGGAGAUUAAUACAAGAUGUUAUCAUGAGUAAGCAUUUUCGCAUGAUUAAAGGUUUACCGGUGUAAGAUGGGGAUGCGUUCCA